CAUUUACACAGUUGGCCAAAUUUCACUGAAGUUUGUUUUUCAGAUUCUACUAGGUGUUUUCAUGUGGCAGUUGCCUAAUUUUUUACUAUAUUUAAGAUUUGUCCUUACGUUUUGGAUAUUCUGCCUUUGUUCUUCACAAAUGCUCAACUGUCAUAGAGGGUCUUCUGAUUUUUUUGGCAUGGGGUCACUCAACUAAAUUAUAGCUAGAUAAUAACUCCAAAGCCUAGUUCUCCUGGCUUUCCCUGCUGACCUACUCAUGUCCAGAUGUUCUCAUUUAUAAAGUGUGAGUCUUUGAAGAGUCAUUCUAAGAUUGCAGACUGCCAGGUUAUAUUCAAUACUCUGGACCUAAAUUAUUUGAUACAUUUUGGAAGAACCUGGUAGGUAGUGAGGAGGUGGGUGGGGUAUGGAGUCUUUGUUAGUCAGGAAAGAACAUUCUACUUGGGUUACUAAGGUAUCAGAUUAUUCAGUAAGGUAGACCAUUAAGAGCUAAGUUGCAUGGUGUGCACCUUAGUGCUUUAGGAAAUCAAAGGAAAGAAAUACCAAUGAGGACAGAAAGAGUUCUCCAGAGGAAGUAGACUGCAACUGUAUUUGUGAAGGAUGAGUGGCUGUGGAUGGAAGAAAAGAACAUUUUCAGUAAGGGGACAUGGUGGGUGAAAUGCUGAGGCAGGGAUGGGCUCAGUGUUCCCAGAGCUGUAAGGACCCCAAGAAAAUUUCACUUGUACUCUAUGUGCUUACUAUUUUUGUCUGUCCAGAGUGAAUCAGUUCUCCUAGAGACAGAUUUGACAGUCUGCACACAUUGAGAUCUGUUUCAUUUUAACUUUUCUUCUUGCUUCUCUCAAAUCUGGCUAAAAUACUAUUCUGGUCAUGUCAUUUUCCUGCUUCAGACCCCUCUAUGGCUCCCUGUUGCUCAGUCUCCUGAAGAUUUCAUGCCAGAUCUUUGCAUCCACCCCGCUCCCCCUGCCACCUUGAGCUUCAUUUAACAUCUGGACCCUUCUCACUUCUUGCGUCCCAGCUCCAGCCACCUGGAACUGGCAACUGCCAUACUCUCUCUUGCCUCUGGCCCCUCACAUAAAGCUCAGGUGUUGGUUUAAACAUCACUUCCACAGGAAGACCGGAUUAGGCUCCACUGCUAUUCCUUCUCACCCCUGCAGUGACCCCUUUCUUUUUUUUUUUUUUUUUUUUGUAUAGACAGCCAUUUUCAAGUUCAAACUCAUGAUCUUGGAGACACUUAGAUUUUCUCACAAAUUAUUUGCACAUUUUUAAUAGACUAUUUUUUAGGUAAUUUUACAUUCACAUUGAAAACUAAUC
rnacentral:lncRNA from 1 species